GGAAAUGUGGCUUAGUGGUAGAGCACUUGCCUAGCAUGCAUGAAGCCCUGGGUUCGAUUCCUCAGCAUCA
rnacentral:tRNA from 1 species